UGGGGAGUAGCCAAGGGGUAAGGCAGCGGACUUUGAAUCCGCGAUUCGGAGGUUCGAAUCCUCCCUCCCCAG
rnacentral:tRNA from 2 species